GGAGGACAGAGAGAAAAACAGCAAACCAAAACCAUUUCUGAAUUUCUCUUGUGGAACCUUUGUUUCUGGAAUACUUGCAUGAUGAGGAUAUGUGGAAAAUGGAGUCAUGGAAUCUCUGAGUUAGAAGGUUAUCUGGUCCAGCCACCUCCUCUUCUUAAACUCUUGUACAAAAUCAAAACAUUAAAUGGGAUGGCUGAUGACUCUUUUCUUAAAGAACUUCAGUUCUUGGAUAGAUGCCAGCUUAGUCAGUCUGGGCUCAUAUUUGCAGUUGGUUGCUAAGAUUUUAACAUCCCAGUCAUUUGACAAAAGCUAACUUCAAAAGUAACUGUUACCUUUAUUAAGGUAUAGCAAAUGUGUUCAUUUGGAUGUUUACUGGGAAUUUUUGGUAUCUCAGUAGGGGGAAAACGCCCUCCUUGGCUGUGUUUCAGGGCUGGCUUCCUCUAGACUAGGAAGAGCCAAUUACUGUGGUAAACAGGGUCAUUUAUACAUCAGCAGUUUUCCUGUCAUCACCCCAUGCCAGCCUUGGGAAUACUGACCUUUGUGUAGCAUAGCAUGUUCUUGUCCUCAGUGAUCAAGCCAGACUCACUCCUUUCAUAUUAUGGAUAUGGAGAGAAAAGCUGACUCUGUAGCAACUGGUGUGAUACAGGAUUUUAAGGCACGUUUUGUUCACUUAAGCUAUAGUACUUUCCUUGGUGCCGUGUACUCUAAAUCACCCAUGCAGUUUCAUCUUGCAGUCAAGAGCAUGGAAGAUCCUUGCCUUUUCUGGAAGGAACAUUAGACAUGGGCACUUUAACACUCUGAAGAGAGCAGAUGCCUGCUCAAACCAAUGGAAUGCUCAACAAACUGAGUCCAGGAGAAGAAAUUGCUCCUGAGUGCUGACCUCAGGCCUCUAGUACUGGCUUUUCUAGGAGAUGACAGAAGAUAUGUGAAGAAGAACGGGAAUCAGAGGAGGGCACAGGCAGAGGAUGCUGACUACAUCAGUCAGGAAGAGGGCGAGGCUAACUUUACUUCUUUUUACUGCAGAUAGAGUCAUAAUAGACUCAUCAGAAAUAAUCAGAGGUGGAGGGGAGCAAUGUCAUCGUGGACAGGCUAUGGGGAAACAGUUACUGCUAGCAAUAGAGAGCAAUGGGACCACAGAGCCCAUGCCUCUGACCAUUGAUUGCCCUUCUGGUAAGUGCCAUGUCGCAGCA
rnacentral:lncRNA from 1 species